AUACCCUACUAUGCCCCACUGUAACAAAACAAUAAAAUUAAUCAUUGUUCGCCAAAUAACUACGAGUAAAAACUUAAAAUUUAAAAGACUUGACGGUGCUUCACACCGACCUAGAGGAGCCUGUCCAAUAACCGAUAAUCCACGAUUAACCCAACCUUUUCUGGCCUAACAGUCUAUAUACCGCCGUCGCCAGCCUACCUUGUGAAAGAGACAAAGUAGACUAAACAGCAUUAUACUAACACGACAGGUCGAGGUGUAACUAAUGAAAAGGACCAAGAUGGGCUACAUUUCUUAAACCAAGAAAUAACGAACAGACUAUGAAACUAGAAACUGAAGGCGGAUUUAGCAGUAAGCUAAGAAUAAAAUACUUAACCGAAAUAUCAACGCAAUGAAGCGCGUACACACCGCCCGUCAUCCCUGCCAGACUAAAACAAAUAUAAAUAAUACAUCACCACCCUACCAAGCAGGGCAAGU
rnacentral:rRNA from 1 species